CUCUCUCUCUCUCUCUCUCUCUCUCUCUCUCUCUCUCUCUCUCUCUCUCUCCUGGUUCAGCUUGAACUUUCUCCAUGGUUCUGGUUUUGUGUCCUUGAGAGAGGGUGUACUAUGAAGCCCAGCUUGGCUUCAAACUCAAGAUUCUUCUGCCUCAGCCUCCCAAGCAGUAGACUUAACUGCCUUUUCCUCCUUGGAUCUUUAUGUCCGUUGCUCUUUGCCAUUGUCUGCCAUCUGGAUAUAUUGCUCAGAACCCUGGCCUGCUGCUGACUAAGUUGAACUGAGAGAUGAGCUGGUUAGACCCCUCCUGGCCAGGGGCCACUUCAAUCCUGCCCCAGCCCAGAGCACACCCUCAUCUACUUGCUGGGCAAAGGAUCUGAGAUUGCUAAGGCCCUGGCCUGUUUUCUCCCGUGUGCCCUUCCUCCACCAUACCAGCCACUGCCAUGUCUGGCACUCCAGCAUGGGCAGUGGAACGUGGGAAACAGUGUGGGUGUCAAAAGGUUUCACACUCACCAGGCUGCAAGUCAGCCUUCCAUUGUCUCCAUUCAUUGUCUCUAAGGACAGCAGUCAGUCCCAUGACUGUGACAGUGUGACAUGCCCACUUCCCACCCCCACACACUGGACAUGGCAGCACAUGAUACGGGCACCGUCGGCAGGUACACAGCUCCUCCCUGCUCCCUGCCCCUCCCCAGCCUCGGCCACAUGAUAGAUAUAUGAGUACCCUUUGCCUCAGACGGUGACCACAAAUUAGCCUGCUCUGAGCUUGACUCCGAAUGAUGGUGGCAAAGAUGACAUGUUCUCAGCCCUCAGCAAACUCGGGUUUCUUCCACUUUUUGCUGCUUAGUCAGCUUGUUGCAAUGCCCAGCAACUUCCCUCUGGGUGGCUGUAGUCUGCCCCAGUGCUCAGUACUCCACCCCCGCCCAGCUUCAGGCCUUGGUGGCAGCUGUCUAUGCCAACACAUCCUCCCAGACACGCCCAGCCUGGAGUCAGGAGACAUGGGAGCUGAGCUGCCGCUCAUUCUGACCCGCAGACAAGCCGCCUCAUUCACAUUGCUAAGCCUAAGCUAGGAAAUGGUUGUCUGCACCAAGAGCACAAACAAAACAAACAACAACAACAACAAAAAAACAGGUCCCCAUCCUCAGGACAAGAACUUGGCCAUCGUCCAGUCCAGUGGUGUGGAUUUGCACUCUCUCCUCUUCCUGGCCAUGUGAUGGUGUCCACCUCUUGUUUCUCAAUCUGUCACUGUGACUGUCAUGAAGCCUCUUGCACAGCCAUUGUAAGACAAUGGUCAUGCACGAACUACAUCAGACUAGCACCUGGUGCCCUGGACAGAAUGUGGCCCCUACUCAUAGAUGGAAACCCUAACCCCCAAUUCAAUGGUAUCAGGAGGUUGGGAAUCUCAAAGGUGAUUGCCUAAAGGAGGUAGAGUCCUCAUGAAUGGGAUCAGUGGCUGAUGGAAAGAAGCCCAGGAGAGCCCCCAUCCUCUCCAGUGAGGAUCAUGGAAGAAGAUGGUCAACAGUGAAGUGGGGAGCAGAUGCCAGGACGAAACCUCCGCAGCCUUAGUGUCGGACUUCCUGGCCUCCAGAACGGUAAGGCAUAUCUUUCUAUUGUUCAGAAGCCCCCAAGUCCAUGCCACGGUUUGUUUGAUUUUAUGUGAGUAGGCAGAGGCAGAAAUGGGCACAGGAGAUGAGGUGCUGCAAGGCUGGGUACUUUUAUUCUGGGCUCUGGGUGGCAGGGAGGUAAACACAGUGGCUAAAGCACUUGCUGUGUAAACACAAGGACCUGAGUUCUGACAAUGCGGGCCUCCCUCAGAACAUUUGUCAUUCUAGCACCAAGGAGGCAAAAACCGGCAGGUCCACAGGGUCCAUAGGCCAACCAACCUAACCUGAGUGGCAAGUUCCAGGCCAGUGAGGGACUCUGUCUCUCAAAGAGGAAAAUGGAUGGUUUCAAGGUUGCCCCCCCCCCCCGCAUGCACACAUGCUCACAGUGCGUGCACAUACACACACAGGCACACACACACAAACACUCAAACACAUUUAUAAGAACUGGGCUAGGAGUAGGGGCAAAGAGAGUUUUUUGUAGGACAUGGUAGAAAAGUCCUAUAUUGCCACAAACACACCUUUAGAAGCAAUUCUAGUAAUGGUUCAGGGAGAAAAAGAAGUGGGGGUUGGGUUAUAGAAGGCCUGGAUAUUAGAGCAUUCCUGGGUGAUUUUGAUGUAGUAACAGAUAUCAGGCAAGCUCAUGGCUGGACUGCAUGGUGAUGUGACUCUGAGCUCUGCAAGGCCCAAGGGAUGGAGUGUAGUGGUUUGAAUGACAAUGUCCCCAAUAGAUGCUUAAAUACUUGGUCCCCAUUUGAUGCCGCUGUUGGAAUGUUUAGGAAGUUCAUUCUUGCUGGAGAAAGUAUGUUACCGGGGACAGAGCACUCUAGUACCCUAGGCAUCAUGUGUCCUUCCUGCCUCAUUCGGGUCUUAAUCUGGGGUUCCUGGGUAGGAUGAGGAAGCCAUGAAACCCCUGUGGUUAUGGGCAGCAGUGCUUUUGCCUCUCUUGGGAUAGGCAUCACGGCUUUCACCAGAUCAUAAAAGAGUCAACGAUGGAGCAUAGUGCCAGUGUGCCUGGGCACCAAGCUCCUGGAACCUACGUGGCUAGGCUUCUGCUCAAGAAUGACUUUGAGCCUGAGUCCUUCCAGUUGUUCAAUGACAUUGGACACACCUCGGUAGCUCUGGCUCCUUGUGUGGCUGUCUCCAUGGCUUUUUGUAAAGAUUGAGUUGAUCCACACAUGGCUGGUCACCCAGGCUAGAGGGUCACUUGUCCUCCUCAGCACUGGUUCCAUAAGGAGGAACAAUGGAGACAAGGCGAUGACCUAGGUCCAGAGCCUUGACUGGCAGGGCUGGCAGGGGACAUCGUGGGAGAGCGAGUCUGCUCUCUGCUCUCAAAGCUACGAGGACGCUCUCUAGGGAAACUAGAGGGUGAAGCAAAUCUCCUGAAAGUUUCAGUUCUGGCCAAAUGCUAAGAUCCAGUCACCUCCCACACACUGUAGGAAGCGGCUCUGGCCCAGGCAGAAGCUUUGAAUCUGAAAGAGCCUGGUAGGUGCCCCUGUGGCAUCCUCCCGUGGCCUGUUUGAAGUCACCUGUCUGGUUUGAUGUCUGAGAAACAAGGAACUGUCAGAUACUGCAUCCCACCUAGAGCAAGCAAUAGUGUGGACACUUCAGAGGAGCCAACGUGGAGCCACAGGCAUGCAGCUGGAGGCAGCAGAGGCAGCCGAGGUUGAAGCCCUGGCUGCUGGCCUCCAGUCUGUGGCCGUUCCCACAGCAGCAGGUCUCAUCAGAAGCCUCAGAAGCACUUGCUAGAAUACAGAGGGCCUAAUCCACCCUCAGGGCCCCAUCUCAUAGCAGAGGUGGGAUGAUGAGUUUCCGGGUGUCACUAAUGCUGCCUGAGAACCACCGUACUCCAAAAGAUGGAUGAGGGCUUGUCAGGAGUUUGCCCCUGGCCCAGGAGGGAGUGAAAAGACUUCAUCUGCUCCUGUUCUGGCUGAGGGCUCACCUGGAAAGUCCUUGAAGGAGCUGAUGCAUUCAGGGCCAGUCAGCCUUCUGCAGACACAAUCACAGACUCAGGUAGCCUCUGAAUUCCAACUGCCAUGUCCUGCCUCUCCAUGUGCCAUGCCCCAUGGCUUUUCUUCUCCACGGCACCCUUCCACCUGUUCCUCUCUCACCUGAAGCCUGAGGGAGGGGGCUGAGGAAGGGUGAGGACUGAGAGGCAAGUCUAGAUGCAGAGCUGUGAUUUCACUCCUGGCAGGCAUCGCUGGAACUCGGGCGGGAGGGCGGGGUGCAGGGCCACCUCCUGCGGUGAGAGGGGUCACACCUCUUACCUGCUCUGUGGAGCUCAUUAGCUGCUGAGGUGAGGCUCAGUGUUUCUCAUUUUGCUGAGUCUUUGCUGAGACUCAAAGAGGGAAAUGAGCCAUUGCCACUCAGCAAACACUCUCUGAAACAGAAACCGAACCUUCUGCAGUUUCUAAUAAUGGCCCGUGGACUAAAAAUGCAGAAGUCUGGCCUCGCUUCUUCAAAGUCCGCUUUCUGAAAAGAGAUGUCUGGAGCUCGCCUUCUGCUUAUCAAACUCCCAAGGACAGAGUGGGAGGUCAGGUGCUUCCAACAUGCCAGGCCAGUUCAUGCCAGUUUAGGGCUCAGUGCCUCUCGGCUGCUGUGAGGAGGUGGGAGAUGAUCCACCCCUCCCCCCGCCCCCCACUCCUUCCACCCUGUGGAUAAAGCUCAGCCACCUUGAUUCUGGAAAUGUGAGAAUCAGGGCAGUUUAGAAUUUGGGGAUGCUGGAUGAGUCACCAGCCUCUCUGAAGCCUCAGGAUCUUGGAUUAUUAGUCUUGCAUACUUGGAAACUCUGAUCAUGUCAGGAUGUCUUAUGAACUGCAAAGUGUAUAAGGCUUUUCUAGUUCAUGUUGUGGUCACAGAGUCAUUGGAUGGUUCAUCUUCAUCAUCAGUUUUCCUGGAUUUGGACUUACCUAGGAGAUGCACCUCUGUGAGAAUGAUUUGAGGAAGUCUCCCCUGAGGAGGGAAGAUGCAUCCCGAAUGUGGGCGGCACCAUCCCCUAAGCUGGGGACUGGAUACGAAGGAGAAACUGAGCUGAGCACCAGCCUUCAUUUCUGUUUCCUGACUACAGCGGCAGUAAGACUAGUUACCUCCCAUUCCUGCGGUCGUCCCUUCCAUAGCAGGGUGGACUGCAUCUCCUCAAGCCAGAAGCCAAGAUCAGCAUUUCCUUUACGUACCUUUUUGUUUGUUUGUUUGUUUUAAACAACAGCAUACCACUACCUGACUUUUUUUGUUGUUGUUCUUUUAAACGACAAAAACAUGGGUUCUGAGGAUUAAACUCAAGUCUUCCAGUUUGCACAAGUAUUUUACCAACUGACCUAUCUCCCCGGUCUAGAUUCUUUCUUUUUAAGGGAGUAAACCCAGUUCAAGAUCUUGCUCACUGGAAUUGAACAUAGUGUCAUGUGUCUUUCUAAGGUUUCUUGUUUUCUGUUUAUGACGGGUGCUAUUGAUCCUCUAUUAAUGAUACACAGGGAUUUUACAUUUAUUUUAUUGGGUGUGUGUGUGUAUGUACCACUGUAUGAGUGUGCAGGUCAGAGGACAACUCAGGUGAAUCAGCUCUCUCCUUCCACCGCUUAGGUCCUGGGUUGAUCAAACUUAGGUCAUCAGACUUGGUGGUAAGCCCCCACUGAGUCAUCUCUCCAGCCCAUGUUCAUAGGUUUUGUUUUUAUAAAAAGUGAAUGUAAGUAAAACAAGGGAGCAGAAAUAUUCACCUAUAAAUGCAAAUGGUUCUUUCCCACUUAUUAAAGUUGGUGUACAAGGUAGAUUUUUAUUUAUGCAUGCAUGUUGUCUUAGCUAGGGUUUCUAUUGCUCUGAAGAGACCAUGACCACAUAAACUUUUACAAAGAAAACAUUUAAUUGAGGUAGCUCUCUUACAGUUCAGAGGCUCAGCCCAUUAUCAUCGUGAUGGGGAGCAUGGCGGUGUGCAGGCAGACAUAGUGCUGCUGGCUAUACCUUUAUCAGAAGGCAACAGGAAGUAGAGUAUGACACUUGGGGGUAGCUUGAGCAUAUAUGAGACCUCAAAGCCCAUCCCCACAGUGAUACACUUCCUCCAACAAGACCACACCUACUCCGACAUGUCCAUACCUCCUAGUAGUGCCACUCCCUGUGAGAAUAUGGGGGCCAAUUACAUUCAGACUACCACACAUGUUCAUAUAAAUGAUUCCCGGAUAUGGCAGAUACCAUUCUUAGGAGACCCAGACAGGAGUUUCCAAGCCUGAGUUUCAGGCAUUUGGAGAGAACAUAUUGCUUUCUGCUCCGGACACUUGAGAGCAGCAGGCUGGGUAUGCUCCCCCUUUGGGAUUUAGGGUUCCAGGAGUCAUCUUGGGGUUGCUUUCACUCUUUCCAUUUGAGCUAAGACAAAGAAGACUCUCAUUUUUCUCAUCUGUGCGGGAGAAUCCUCCUACCUUCCACAAGGUUGCUUGUGGGAGAUGGGUUGGGCACGCAUCUUCACAGGUGUGUGCGGUAAGAGGCUGACAAUUGAGGCCUGCCUCCAUCACCUGGCCGAAGAGGGAAAUCGGAGCUACUGCUGUCUGCCUGAGCUGCUCAUAGUGCCCAAAAGGUAGGUCUUCCCUCCAGGACGCCACCACCCUGUGCUUGAGGGAAGAGAAGAGACAGAAAGAGACGUGGCUGACACCGGGACACCCAAGACUACACUUUACCAAAAGCUGGCCCUGAUGCCCUAGAUGAAAAGAGGCCUCUUCACAGUCGUCAUGGUGCUCACUUCCCCUUUGUGACACUAUGCAGGUGCUGGGAUCACAGGCAACUGCUACUAUACACAGCAUUUCAGGUUCAUGUGGCACUGAGGACAGAACCUAGGACUUUGUAUGUGCUAGUCAAGCGCUGUACCAACCUGCUACAUACCCACCCUGGAGGACUGCACCAUCGAUGAAGGAAUCUCAGAACCUCUCUCUCACAUCCAGAGAGGCAGGCCAGGGGUUAUACGUACCCACAUCUUACAAAUAAGGAAACCGAGGCUCCCACAGAGAAACACAACACCUGUAGAGACCAAAGCUGGAGCCGUCCCAAUGCCGGUCUCUGGGGAUGAAGAGUUUCCCAGAACUGCAUCCCGGAAUUCAGCCGGGUGUGGCCGCCACCAGCUGCUGUGGUUGAAGACGGCAAAUCCUAGGAGACAUGCACUGACCGUGUCCACAGGCAUCCAUCCUUGUGUGAGGUAAGAAGGGACUCUAAGAUGGCACGGAGGCCUCCCCGAAACACUGUCCCAUCAACCAGAGCUCCUGACUGGUACAGGGUCCACAGUCAGAGUAUGAGCUGUAGGAACUCUCAGGAGCAUUCUUAGAGGAAAUCUCUGGGAACUGAGCCCUUGUUUGGUUGGUGGGAGAAAGUAAGUAAACGAGUUGUCGACCCAUUUUCUUGAUGUGCAACUGAGGCACACAAUAGUUCAUUGACUGUAAUUGGCACUGCUGCGGUUUACAGUCAGGCCUCUCUUCUCUGCUAGCCAAUGUAACAAGAGGAAUAGCUGAAGUCCAGAGGAGGGCAUCAGCUUGCCCAGAGUCACACAGCUGACUAGUGACUGGGCAGAGA